GACGAACGCUGGCGGCGUGCCUAAUACAUGCAAGUCGAACGAACCGACGGAGAAACUUGUUUCUCUUGACGUGAGUGGCGGGCGGGUGAGUAACACGUGGGAAACCUACCCUCUAGCGGGGGAUAACUAUCGGAAACGGUAGCUAAUACCGCAUAAACCUUAAGCUCGCAUGAGCUUAAGUUGAAAGACGGCUUUUGCUGUCACUAGAGGAUGGUCCCGCGGCGCAUUAGUUAGUUGGUGGGGUAACGGCCUACCAAGACGAUGAUGUAUAGCCGACCUGAGAGGGUGAUCGGCCACACUGGGACUGAGACACGGCCCAG
rnacentral:rRNA from 1 species